rnacentral:lncRNA from 1 species
UUUGAAGGUAGAUACAGAUUUCAAACUACCCAAGCGGAAUGACCAGAUCAGAUACAGAUACGGCAAUUUGCUCAAGCCCAUUUUUGGCUAGCCAAAAAAUGGUAUGAUCUACGACCAUAACUGUACCAGCUAUAGUGGCCCUAAUAGAUAUCUAUAGUCACGGUAUUACUUAGCCACGGGUGACCCCUACAGAUAGUGCGAUACCACUCUCGUCAAAGGGUACGUCGUCCUCCAUUGGGAGUGGUCCUCUUACGUCUUUCCAUACCAGAUAGAGGAGGGAGAAAAAAUAUACCCCGAAGAGCCAGAAGAACAGAUACCCCUCAGUGAUAAAAAGCCUAACGAGACACUUGAUGCAACAUACAUGUCAAUACAGAUACACUUCAAACCAUACAUGCUUCAUUCCACUUUUCUUUUUUUUUUGUCCUUUUAUUAUUUUUUUACUUUUUAUUUUUACUAGGCAAUUAUAUUGAUUACAUGCAAUUCAUCAAGUGUCUUCAAUUCACAUAGCAUGCUUGAAAAUAAGAAUAAUUCGACUUAUCUGAACACAAAGGCAUACAAAACAGGCUAAAUCACAAUAAUUAGUUUAUCAAAAAAUACUCCUUAAGAUGUCCAAAGAAAUACCACAUUCCGUACCAAAAUGUCGAUGUUUUCUCCUCCGUCGUUUUCCAUCCUUUCGCUUCUUAUCUCACCAGACUACUAUCUCUCUCUC